CGCGAGAAACCUUACCAAGGCUUGACAUAUACGAGAACGCUGCAGAAAUGCAGAACUCUUUGGACACUCGUAUACAGGUGGUGCAUGGUUGUCGUCAGCUCGUGUCGUGAGAUGUUGGGUUAAGUCCCCGCAACGAGCGCAACCCUCGUCCUAUGUUGCCAGCACGUAAUGGUGGGAACUCAUGGGAUACUGCCGGGGUCAACUCGGAGGAAGGUGGGGAUGACGUCAAAUCAUCAUGCCCCUUAUGUCU
rnacentral:rRNA from 1 species